GCUGGGCAUGGUGGCUCAUGCCUGUAAUCCUAGCACUUUGGGAGGCCAAGGUGGGUGGAUUACUGGAGGUCAGGGGUUUGAGACCAGCCUGGCCAACAUGGUGAAUCCCCACCUCUACUAAAAAUACAAAACUUAGGCUGGGAGCAGUGGCUCACGCCUGUAAUCCCAGCACUUUGGGAGGCUGAAGUGGGUGGAUCACCUGAUCACCUGAGGUCAGGGGUUUGAGACCAGCCUGACCAAUAUGGUAAAACCCCAUCUCU
ensembl:misc_RNA Metazoa_SRP Metazoan signal recognition particle RNA